rnacentral:rRNA from 1 species
UGGGGAAUAUUGCACAAUGGGCGCAAGCCUGAUGCAGCCAUGCCGCGUGUGUGAAGAAGGCCUUCGGGUUGUAAAGCACUUUCAGCGAGGAGGAAGGUGGUGAGCUUAAUACGCUCAUCAAUUGACGUUACUCGCAGAAGAAGCACCGGCUAACUCCGUGCCAGCAGCCGCGGUAAUACGGAGGGUGCAAGCGUUAAUCGGAAUUACUGGGCGUAAAGCGCACGCAGGCGGUUUGUUAAGUCAGAUGUGAAAUCCCCGGGCUCAACCUGGGAACUGCAUUUGAAACUGGCAAGCUAGAGUCUCGUAGAGGGGGGUAGAAUUCCAGGUGUAGCGGUGAAAUGCGUAGAGAUCUGGAGGAAUACCGGUGGCGAAGGCGGCCCCCUGGACGAAGACUGACGCUCAGGUGCGAAAGCGUGGGGCAGCAAACAGGAUUAGAUACCCUGGUAGUCCAGCGCUGUAAAACGAUGUCGAUUUUGGAGGUUGUGCCCUUGAGGCGUGGCUUCCGGA